UAACAGUUGGUGACUGUGUGAUGAUUUUACGAUGUAAAGCACUUUGUUGCUGAAAUGUUGCUCUACAAAUAAACUUGACUGUAACCUUUCUCUCCUUUAAAGCCAUUAUUCUCCCAGCAUAAUAACUCGUAGCGUACAGUGGGGCACAUCUGUGAAAUCACAGAGUUUAAGGCAAAAGCAAACGCACAAACACAUCCUCAUGCACACGGUGGAGAGAUUUAGGGCACGCUAGCACCCGGAUGAUGAAUGAAGCCCACACACGGCUGGAAAACAGAACAGGACCGCUCCGACCUUGGCUGCAAACACACAGGGGAGCGGCGGAGCGGCGCGCCCGUCCAGAAGCUCCGAUUCGACACACAGGAAGUGGUGGACGGCGGGCCGCUGAGGCCAAUGAUGAACGAGGGGGACGCAGUCGCAGGAACACCUCGGCGCCCUUCCUGAAGGUGUGAUAAAUCUAGCCGGAGCCGCUGCUGGGUUCCAGUAAAAGGACAUGUGAUCCAUGAAAGGCGAUACAGGAAGUGAUGAACACGAGCCACGGCGCUGAUAAUGGCCCAGAAUCCGUCCCGCAGCGUCCGGCGCGCUGAACUCUGACUCAUCCGAGAUGUAAUCUGUCCGCCGCGCGGCGAGCUCCAUUACGACCGGACGGCGCUGACAAUUAAACCACUCAUCGAUAUAUACAACCCUCUCAUCGAUCAAAACGCAGCUAUCAACGCCGCCCCCCAGUGGCCGAACGGGGCCGGAGACGAGACGACAGCCAAACGAUCCAUAAACAUAAUGGACAUCAAUAUUGAAAAGAUGACAGAUGAGGCUGCCAGCAGAGGCCGGGAUUCAAUUUCUAUUCUUCUUUUUUCCUGCAGGAGGCCGGAUCGCUUUUCACAAAGUCAUUUAUCAGCCGGCAGGCCGACGGCGAGAAGCCGAGCCGCAACAUGUGAGCCGACGGCUGACGCAAACGACAAAAUGAAUCAGGCGCGCAACAAUAAUGACUGAGAUAUAAGUAAUGAUGGCAUCCAGAGCGCAGUGGGCUCCCUGCCUGUGAGAGCGCCACAGCGACAGAACAUCAGACCCACCGAAGGCUCCGACUGAACCCACGGCGUCGCUACCAUGGUUUAUAAUCCAGGAUGUAAUCUGACCCCUGGCUGACCUGGCAACCUGCAGCCCAACUGAUCAGACCUUCAUGUUCUGCUUAAGCUGCUGAUAAUUUUAUACGAUUUUAUUCUUCGUAACAAAUUUUAAAUAGGAAGAAAUCAAAUAAAAUGCAAUAAUAUUAAAAAUAUCAAUUAUAAAAAGAAAUUGAAGAAAUUUUUUAAAGAAAUCUGAAGGAAGCGAAACAUA